rnacentral:rRNA from 1 species
AUGGCGACCGCUUCAGUAUCGUUCAAGUCUCGUGAGGACCACCGGAAGCAGCUCGAGCUUGAGGAGGCGCGUAAGGCGGGGCUGGCCCCUGCCGAAGUCGACGAGGAUGGAAACGAAAUUAACCCUCACAUCCCGCAGUAUAUGUCCUCGGCCCCAUGGUAUCUCAACGCUGAGAAGCCGAGUUUGAAGCAUCAGCGGAAAUGGAAGUCGGAUCCGAAUUACACAAAAGCAUGGUACGAUAGGGGUGCCAGGCUUUUCCAGGCCAACAAAUACAGAAAAGGUGCUUGCGAAAACUGUGGAGCCAUGACUCACAAUAAGAAGGAAUGCAUGGAUCGACCUCGGAAUGUUGGAGCUAAAUAUACUAAUAUGAAUAUAGCACCGGAUGAGAAAGUUGAGUCGUUUGAGCUUGAUUAUGAUGGCAAGCGUGACCGUUGGAAUGGUUAUGACACAUCAACCUACACUCGUGUUAUCCAAGAUUAUGAAGCUAGAGAAGAGGCCAGGAAAAAGUUCCUGAAAGAACAACAGCUCAAGAAGCUCGAGGAGAAGGACGGCGAACAGGAUGGUGAGAAUGUGGGCAGUGAAGAGGAUGAAGAAGAUGGCCUGAAGAUAGAUGAGGCUAAAGUUGAUGAGAGCGCUCAAAUGGAUUUUGCCAAGGUAGAGAAGCGUGUGCGCACAACAGGCGGUGGAAGCACUGGAACUGUGAGGAAUUUGCGUAUCAGAGAAGACACUGCAAAGUAUCUUCUGAAUCUUGAUGUGAACUCUGCAUAUUAUGAUCCAAAAACCCGCUCCAUGCGUGAGGAUCCUUUGCCAGAUGCAGACCCCAAUGAUAAAUUCUAUGUUGGUGAUAACCAAAAUAGACUCAGUGGACAAGCUCUGGAGUUCAAGCAACUCAAUGUCCAUGCAUGGGAGGCUUUUGACAAGGGGCAGGAUUUCCAUAUGCAAGCAGCACCAUCUCAAGCUGAACUACUGUACAAGAGUUUCAAGAUCAAGAAGGAGAAGUUGAAAUCUGAAAGCAAGGACAAAAUUAUGGAGAAGUAUGGGAAUGCUGCAUCUGACGAACCAAUCCCUCGUGAGCUUCUUCUUGGGCAAAGUGAGAAAGAGAUUGAGUAUGACCGGACUGGUCGCAUAAUCAAAGGACAGGAUGUAGCUCUUCCUAAGAGCAAAUAUGAAGAGGAUGUCCUAAUUAAUAACCACACAACAGUGUGGGGUUCAUGGUGGAAAGAUCAUCAAUGGGGCUAUAAGUGCUGCAAGCAGACUAUUAAAAAUAGUUACUGCACAGGCCUUGCUGGAAUCGAGGCUGCUGAAGCAUCAGCUGAUUUGAUGAGGGAAAAUAUGGCCCGCAAGGAGGCCGCCGAAGAGGAACCUGUACGACAAGAAGAAAAGAAACUAGCCACUUGGGGAACAGAUAUUCCUCAGGAUCUUGUUCUGGACCAGAAGUUGCUUGAGGAAUCCUUAAAGAAGGAGGCAAAGAGGAAGAAGGAAGAGAUGGACGAAAGAAAGAGGAAGUACAAUGUGAAGUGGAACGACGAGGUCACCGCCGAAGACAUGGAGGCCUACCGUAUGACGAGAGUCCGCCAUGACGAUCCUAUGAAAGAUUUUCUCAAUUAG